AAGUCGUAACAAGGUUUCCGUAGGUGAACCUGCGGAAGGAUCAUUAACACGUAUCCAACGUUAAACCCCCUGUGAACUUUCAUCGUGCUCUUGCAUCCUCGGAACAGCAAUCCUGGUAAAUCAGUCGCAACAGUAGUUAUUGAUUCAGGACCUCUGCCCAAAAGAUGUGAUUGAGCGCUCGAGGCAAGUGGCCUAGUUUCCCAAAGCAAUCAGUGUUCUGAAAGCGUCACUGACUGUGUAAGGAUAACGCUUCUCGGUUGCUAGAGGUCGAUCACCGACCGGCAGACAUGUCACAGGGUCACCGCGCCCCUAAUCUCCCCCUCUGAAACUUUGACGCCCCGAUGAAAAUCCGGGUGAGAAAAAACCGAACAACUGUUAACAAUGGAUAUCUUGGUUCUC
rnacentral:misc_RNA from 1 species